GGGAUAGCCUUUCGAAAGGAAGAUUAAUACCCCAUAAUAUUUUGAAUGGCAUCAUUUGAAAUUGAAAACUCCGGUGGAUAAAGAUGGGCACGCGCAAGAUUAGAUAGUUGGUAGGGUAACGGCCUACCAAGUCUACGAUCUUUAGGGGGCCUGAGAGGGUGAUCCCCCACACUGGUACUGAGACACGGACCAGACUCCUACGGGAGGCAGCAGUGAGGAAUAUUGGACAAUGGGUGAGAGCCUGAUCCAGCCAUCCCGCGUGAAGGAUUAAGGUCCUAUGGAUUGUAAACUUCUUUUGUAUAGGGAUAAACCUAGAUACGUGUAUCUAGCUGAAGGUACUAUACGAAUAAGCACCGGCUAACUCCGUGCCAGCAGCCGCGGUAAUACGGAGGGUGCAAGCGUUAUCCGGAUUUAUUGGGUUUAAAGGGUCCGUAGGCGGAUUUGUAAGUCAGUGGUGAAAUCUCACAGCUUAACUGUGAAACUGCCAUUGAUACUGCAAGUCUUGAGUGUUGUUGAAGUAGCUGGAAUAAGUAGUGUAGCGGUGAAAUGCAUAGAUAUUACUUAGAACACCAAUUGCGAAGGCAGGUUACUAAGCAACAACUGACGCUGAUGGACGAAAGCGUGGGGAGCGAAC
rnacentral:rRNA from 1 species